CCGGUGACAUAUCUUUCAAGUGUCUGCCCUAUCAACUUUCGAUGGUAGUUUAUGUGCCUACCAUGGUCGUAACGGGUAACGGAGAAUAAGGGUUCGACUCCGGAGAGGGAGCCUGAGAAAUGGCUACCACAUCCAAGGAAGGCAGCAGGCGCGCAAAUUACCCACUCUCAGAUCGAGGAGGUAGUGACGAAAAAUAACGAGAYGGUUCUCUUUGAGGCCCGUCAUCGGAAUGGGUACAAUUUAAACCCUUUAACGAGGAUCUAUUGGAGGGCAAGUCUGGUGCCAGCAGCCGCGGUAAUUCCAGCUCCAAUAGCAUAUACCAAUUCUGCUGCUGUUAAAAAGCUCGUAGUUGGAUCUUUUCCGAGGUGCCAGUCUGUCUCAAGGACAUGUACUGGUUUCUGAGGAUAUAUCAGUUGGUUUUCUCAUGGUGCCCUUCAUUGAGUGCCAUGGGUGGCUAGCAAGUUUACUUUGAAAAAAUUAGAGUGCUCAAAACAGGCGAUUCUGCCCGAAUAGUGGUGCAUGGAAUAAUGGAAUAGGAUCUCGGUUCUAUUUUGUUGGUUUUAGGAGUGCGAGAUAAUGAUUAAGAGGGACAGACGGGGGCAUUCGUAUUGCGGCGUUAGAGGUGAAAUUCUUGGAUCGCCGCAAGACGAACAACUGCGAAAGCAUUUGCCAAGAAUGUUUUCAUUAAUCAAGAACGAAAGUUAGAGGUUCGAAGGCGAUCAGAUACCGCCCUAGUUCUAACCGUAAACGAUGCCAAUUAGCGAUCUGCUGGUGUUAAUCAUGACCCAGCAGGCAGCUUCCCGGAAACGAAAAUCUUUCGGUUCAGGGGGAAGUAUGGUUGCAAAGCUGAAACUUAAAGGAAUU
rnacentral:rRNA from 1 species